AUUAUUGGGCGUAAGCGAGCGCAGGCGGUCUUUUAAGUCUAAUGUGAAAGCCUUCGGCUCSAACCGAAGAAGUGCAUUGGAAACUGGGAGACUUGAGUGCAGAAGAGGACAGUGGAACUCCAUGUGUAGCGGUGAAAUGCGUAGAUAUAUGGAAGAACACCAGUGGCGAAGGCGGCUGUCUGGUCUGCAACUGACGCUGAGGCUCGAAAGCAUGGGUAGCGAACAGGAUUAGAUACCCUGGUAGUCCAUGCCGUAAACGAUGAUUACUAAGUGUUGGAGGGUUUCCGCCCUUCAGUGCUGCAGCUAACGCAUUAAGUAAUCCGCCUGGGGAGUACGACCGCAAGGUUGAAACUCAAAAGAAUUGACGGGGGCCCGCACAAGCGGUGGAGCAUGUGGUUUAAUUCGAAGCUACGCGAAGAACCUUACCAGGUCUUGACAUCUUCUGACAGUCUAAGAGAUUAGAGGUUCCCUUCGGGGACAGAAUGACAGGUGGUGCAUGGUUGUCGUCAGCUCGUGUCGUGAGAUGUUGGGUUAAGUCCCGCAACGAGCGCAACCCUUAUUACUAGUUGCCAGCAUUAAGUUGGGCACUCUAGUGAGACUGCCGGUGACAAACCGGAGGAAGGUGGGGACGACGUCAAAUCAUCAUGCCCCUUAUGACCUGGGCUACACACGUGCUACAAUGGAUGGUACAACGAGUCGCGAGACCGCGAGGUUAAGCUAAUCUCUUAAAACCAUU
rnacentral:rRNA from 1 species